rnacentral:tRNA from 1 species
UGGCUCAGAUGGUAAAGCGUCUGCCUACAAUGCGGGUGACCCAGGUUCAAUCCCUGG